rnacentral:rRNA from 1 species
AUUGAACGCUGGCGGCAGGCCUAACACAUGCAAGUCGAGCGGAUGAAGGGAGCUUGCUCCUGGAUUCAGCGGCGGACGGGUGAGUAAUGCCUAGGAAUCUGCCUGGUAGUGGGGGAUAACGUCCGGAAACGGGCGCUAAUACCGCAUACGUCCUGAGGGAGAAAGUGGGGGAUCUUCGGACCUCACGCUAUCAGAUGAGCCUAGGUCGGAUUAGCUAGUUGGUGGGGUAAAGGCCUACCAAGGCGACGAUCCGUAACUGGUCUGAGAGGAUGAUCAGUCACACUGGAACUGAGACACGGUCCAGACUCCUACGGGAGGCAGCAGUGGGGAAUAUUGGACGAUGGGCGAAAGCCUGAUCCAGCCAAGCCGCGUGUGUGAAGAAGGUCUUCGGAUUGUAAAGCACUUAAAGUUGGGAGGAAGGGCAGUAAGUUAAUACCUUGCUGUUUUGACGUUACCAACAGAGUAAGCACCGGCUAACUUCGUG